UGUCUACGGGAGGCAGCAGUGAGGAAUAUUGGUCAAUGGCCGGAAGGCUGAACCAGCCAAGUCGCGUGAGGGACGACUGCCCUAUGGGUUGUAAACCUCUUUUAUAAGGGAAGAAUAAAUGCUACGUGUAGCAUGAUGCCUAUACCUUAUGAAUAAGCAUCGGCUAACUCCGUGCCAGCAGCCGCGGUAAUACGGAGGAUGCGAGCGUUAUCCGGAUUUAUUGGGUUUAAAGGGUGCGUAGGCGGCGCUUCAGGUCAGCGGUGAAAUACCGGGGCUCAACCCCGGGGCUGCCGUUGAAACCGGAG
rnacentral:rRNA from 1 species